GACGAACGCUGGCGGCGUGCCUAACACAUGCAAGUCGAACGGAAAGGCCCUGCGUUUGUGCCGUGCUCGAUUGGCGCAGACGUGAGUAACACGUGAGUAACCUGCCCCUGUCUUUCGGAUAUCAUCAGGAAACUGGGGCUAAUACCCGAUAUGAGCUCCUGCUGCAUGGUGGGCGUUGGUAAGUGUCGGCGGUUGGGGAUGGACUCGCGGCUUAUCAGCUGGAUGGUGGGGUAGUUGCGUACCAAGGCUAUGACGGGUAGCCCGCCUGGGAGGGUGACCGGGCACAGUACGACUGAGAUACGGACCAGAAUCCUACGGGAGGCAGCAGUGGGGAAUUUGGCACAAUGGGCGGGAGCGUGUUGCAGCAAUUGCGGGUGCGGGAUGACCGCCUUUGAGUUGUGAACCGCUUUGUCCUGUGACGAAGCGUGAGUGACGGUAAUGGGUAAAGAAGCCGCGGCUAACUACGUG
rnacentral:rRNA from 1 species